ensembl:rRNA 5S_rRNA 5S ribosomal RNA
GCUUACGGCCACACCUCCCUGAGCAUGCCCGAUCUCGUCUGAUCUCGGAAGCUAAGCAGGGUCGGGCCCGGUUAGUACUUGGAUGGGAGACCGCCUGGGAAUAAAAGGUGCUGUAAGCA